AUACGUAGGUGGCAAGCGUUGUCCGGAAUUAUUGGGCGUAAAGCGCUUGUAGGCGGUUUGGUAAGUCGGUCGUGAAAAUGCGCUGCUUCUGAAACUGCUUUACUUGAGUGCUGGAGAGGAUAGUGGAAUUCCUAGUGUAGCGGUAAAAUGCGCAGAUAUUAGGAGGAACACCGGUGGCGAAGGCGGCUAUCUGGACAGUAACUGACGCUGAGGCGCGAAAGCACGGGGAGCAAACAGGAUUAGAUACCCUGGUAGUCCGUGCCGUAAACGAUGAAUACUAGGUGUAGGGGGUAUCGACUCCCUCUGUGCCGCAGUUAACACAUUAAGUAUUCCACCUGGGGAGUACGGCCGCAAGGUUGAAACUCAAAUGAAUUGGCGGGG
rnacentral:rRNA from 1 species